AAAGAUUAAGCCAUGCAUGUCUAAGUAUAAGCAAUCUAUACAGUGAAACUGCGAAUGGCUCAUUAAAUCAGUUAUCGUUUAUUUGAUAAUCCAUUACUACUUGGAUAACCGUGGUAAUUCUAGAGCUAAUACAUGCUAAAAAUCCCUUCUUAUGUUGGGAUGUAUUUAUUAGAUAAAAAACCAAUGUCUUCGGACUCUUUGGUGAUUCAUAAUAACUUUUCGAAUCGCAUGGCCUUGCGCCGGCGAUGGUUCAUUCAAAUUUCUGCCCUAUCAACUUUCGAUGGUAGGAUAGUGGCCUACCAUGGUAUCAACGGGUAACGGGGAAUAAGGGUUCUAUUCCGGAGAGGGAGCCUGAGAAACGGCUACCACAUCCAAGGAAGGCAGCAGGCGCGCAAAUUACCCAAUCCUAAUUCAGGGAGGUAGUGACAAUAAAUAACGAUACAGGGCCCAUUGGGUCUUGUAAUUGGAAUGAGAACAAUUUAAAUACCUUAUCGAGGAACAAUUAGAGGGCAAGUCUGGUGCCAGCAGCCCGCGGUAAUUCCAGCUCUAAUAGCGUAUAUUAAAGUUGUUGCAGUUAAAAAGCUCGUAGUUGAACUUCGGGCCUGAUUUGCUGGUCCGCCGCAAGGCGUGUACUGGUUUCGAAUCGGGCCUUUCCUCCUGACUACCCAUGAUGUUCUUAACCGGAUGUCUUGGCGGCUCAGGACUUUUACUUUGAAAAAAUUAGAGUGUUCAAAGCAGGCCUUUGCUCGAAUAUAUUAGCAUGGAAUAAUAGAAUAGGACGUAUGGUUCUAUUUUGUUGGUUUCUAGGACCGUCGUAAUGAUUAAUAGGGACAGUCGGGGGCAUCAGUAUUCAAUUGUCAGAGGUGAAAUUCUUGGAUUUAUUGAAGACUAACUACUGCGAAAGCAUUUGCCAAGGAUGUUUUCAUUAAUCAAGAACGAAAGUUAGGGGAUCGAAAACGAUCAGAUACCGUUGUAGUCUUAACCAUAAACUAUGCCGACUAGGGAUCGGGCGAUGUUCAUUUUAGACUCGCUCGGCACCUUACGAGAAAUCAAAGUUUUUGGGUUCUGGGGGGAGUAUGGUCGCAAGUCUGAAACUUAAAGGAAUUGACGGAAGGGCACCACCAGGAGUGGAGCCUGCGGCUUAAUUUGACUCAACACGGGGAAACUCACCAGGUCCAGACACAAUAAGGAUUGACAGAUUGAGAGCUCUUUCUUGAUUUUGUGGGUGGUGGUGCAUGGCCGUUCUUAGUUGGUGGAGUGAUUUGUCUGCUUAAUUGCGAUAACGAACGAGACCUUAACCUACUAAAUAGCUCGAUUAGCUUUGGCUGAUUAUUAGCUUCUUAGAGGGACUAUCGACUUUAAGUCGAAGGAAGUUUGAGGCAAUAACAGGUCUGUGAUGCCCUUAGACGUUCUGGGCCGCACGCGCGCUACACUGACGGAGCCAACGAGUACAUAACCUUGUCCGAGAGGUCUGGGUAAUCUUGUUAAACUCCGUCGUGCUGGGGAUAGAGCUUUGCAAUUAUUGCUCUUCAACGAGGAAUUCCUAGUAAGCGCAAGUCAUCAGCUUGCGUUGAUUAUGUCCCUGCCCUUUGUACACACCGCCCGUCACUACUACCGAUUGAAUGGCUUAGUGAGACCUCCGGAUUUAUCUCAGAAGUGGGGCAACCCAUUAUCAGAGAUGAAGAAGUUGGUCAAACUUGGUCAUUUAGAGGAAGUAAAAGUCGUAACAAGGUUUCCGUAGGUGAACCUGCGGAAGGAUCAUUAUUGAAUUUUUGAUUUUAACAAUCUUAUAUUCUUGUGAACUUUAUAAACUUUGCUUGGGUUAAUAGUAUUGGAGACUUUAUUGUUACCCAAAGUUUUUUACAAAAACACUUUAUUAAAAAAAAAAA
rnacentral:rRNA from 1 species